GGAAGCGUUCCCCGUGCUGGUGCCGGGCUCGGACUUCAAAUCCGAUGGGGGGCGCGGCGACGCGUCCCCGGCGGGUUCGAUUCCCGUCCGCUUCCGCCA
rnacentral:tRNA from 1 species